rnacentral:rRNA from 1 species
AUUGAACGCUGGCGGCAGGCCUAACACAUGCAAGUCGAGCGGUAGAGAGAAGCUUGCUUCUCUUGAGAGCGGCGGACGGGUGAGUAAUGCCUAGGAAUCUGCCUGGUAGUGGGGGAUAACGUUCGGAAACGGACGCUAAUACCGCCUACGUCCUACGGGAGAAAGCAGGGGACCUUCGGGCCUUGCGCUAUCAGAUGAGCCUAGGUCGGAGUAGCUAGUUGGUGAGGUAAUGGCUAACCAAGGCGACGAUCCGUAACUGGUCUGAGAGGAUGAUCAGUCACACUGGAACUGAGACACGGUCCAGACUCCUACGGGAGGCAGCAGUGGGGAAUAUUGGACAAUGGGCGAAAGCCUGAUCCAGCCAUGCCGCGUGUGUGAAGAAGGUCUUCGGAUUGUAAAGCACUUUAAGUUGGGAGGAAGGGCAGUUACCUAAUACGUGAUUGUUCUGACGUUACCGACAGAAUAAGCACCGGCUAACUCUGUGCCAGCCGCCGCUGUAAUAC